GGGGAUUUAGCUCAGUGGCAUAAGCACCUGCCUUGCAAGCAGGCAAGCAGGCAGUCAUGAGUUCAAUCCCUG
rnacentral:tRNA from 1 species